GAUGAACGCUAGCUACAGGCUUAACACAUGCAAGUCGAGGGGCAGCAUGAACUUAGCUUGCUAAGUUUGAUGGCGACCGGCGCACGGGUGAGUAACACGUAUCCAACCUGCCGAUGACUCGGGGAUAGCCUUUCGAAAGAAAGAUUAAUACCCGAUGGCAUAGUUCUUCCGCAUGGUAGAACUAUUAAAGAAUUUCGGUCAUCGAUGGGGAUGCGUUCCAUUAGGUUGUUGGCGGGGUAACGGCCCACCAAGCCUUCGAUGGAUAGGGGUUCUGAGAGGAAGGUCCCCCACAUUGGAACUGAGACACGGUCCAAACUCCUACGGGAGGCAGCAGUGAGGAAUAGUGGUCAAUGGACGAGAGUCUGAACCAGCCAAGUAGCGUGAAGGAUGACUGCCCUAUGGGUUGUAAACUUCUUUUAUACGGGAAUAAAGUGAGGCACGUGUGCCUUUUUGUAUGUACCGUAUGAAUAAGGAUCGGCUAACUCCGU
rnacentral:rRNA from 1 species